AUUGAACGCUGGCGGCAGGCCUAACACAUGCAAGUCGAGCGGAUGAAGGGAGCUUGCUCCUGGAUUCAGCGGCGGACGGGUGAGUAAUGCCUAGGAAUCUGCCUGGUAGUGGGGGAUAACGUCCGGAAACGGGCGCUAAUACCGCAUACGUCCUGAGGGAGAUAGUGGGGGAUCUUCGGACCUCACGCUAUCAGAUGAGUCUAGGUCGGAUUAGCUAGUUGGUGGGGUAAAGGCCUACCAAGGCGACGAUCCGUAACUGGUCUGAGUGGAUGAUCAGUCACACUAGAACUGAGACACGGUCCAGACUCCUACGGGAGGCAGCAGUGGGGAAUAUUGGGCAAUGGGCGAAAGCCUGAUCCAGCCAUGCCGCGUGUGUGGAGAAGGUCUUCGGAUUGUAAAGCACUUUAAGUUGGGAGGAAGGGCAGUAAGUUAAUACCUUGCUGUUUUGACGUUACCAACAGAAUAAGCACCGGCUAACUUCGUG
rnacentral:rRNA from 1 species